CAAGGCUGCUGAAUUAUUACUUUGUAGCCGGAUCUCAUCAGACCUCAGAAGCUAAACAAGGCUGGGCCUGGGCAGUACUGGAAUGGGAGACCUCUCGGGAAAACCAGGUUGCUGCUUUAU
rnacentral:rRNA from 1 species